rnacentral:rRNA from 1 species
GUCUAAGGCAUGCAAGUCAAACCCCACCGCAAGGCGGGGUGGCAAACGGGAGAGUAACACAUUGGUAACCUGCCUCUAUCUUGGGCAUAACCCGGAGAAAUCUGGGACAAUUCCCAAUAGUCAUGGGGGGACUAUAAGUCAUUCCCAUGUAAAGGUACGCCGGAUAGAGAGGGGCCUAUGGCUCAUCAGCUUGUUGGUAGGGUAAUGGCCUACCAAGGCUACGACGAGUAGCAGGUGUGAGAGCACGACCUGCCCCACUGGGACUGAGACACUGCCCAGACUCCUACGGGAGGCUGCAGUCAAGAAUCUUCCUCAAUGGACGAAAGUCUGAAGGAGCAAUGCCGCGUGAUCGAUGAAGCCCCUCGGGGUGUAAAGAUCUUUUAUCAGGGACGAAUUCGUGACGGUACCUGAUGAAUAAGUCACUGCUAACUUCGUGCCAGCAGCAGCGGUAAUACGAAGGUGGCAAGCGUUACCCGGAUUGAUUGGGCGUAAAGCGUCCGCAGACGGUCAAAAAAGUUCUUGGUUAAAUCUGGGGGCUCAACCUCCAGACUGCCUGGAAUACUUUUUGACUAGAGACUGGAAGGGGUAAGCGGAAUUGCCGGUGUAGUAGUAAAAUGCGUUGAUAUCGGCAGGAACACCAAAAGCGAAGGCAGCUUACUAGUACAGUUCUGACGUUCAGGGACGAAAGCGUGGGUAGCGAAUGGGAUUAGAUACCCCAGUAGUCCACGCCGUAAACGAUGGGUACUAAGCAUUGGGAGUAUCGACCCUCUCAGUGCUGUUUAACUAAGCUAACGCCUUAAGUACCCCGCCUGGGAAGUACGGCCGCAAGGCUAAAACUCAAAGGAAUUGACGGGAGCCCGCACAAGCGGUGGAGCGUGCGGUUCAAUUCGAUGAUAAGCGAGGAACCUUACCAAGGCUUGAAAUCCAGCUGCAUACCCCUAGAAACAGGGGAGCCUAAGAGGGUGCUGGACAGGUGCUGCAUGGUUGUCGUCAGCUCGUGUCGUGAGAUGUUGGGUUAAGUCCCUUAACGAGCGCAACCCUUAUCCUAUGUUAAAUGAUCAUGGGAGACUGCCCCGGUUUAACGGGGAGGAAGGCGAGGAUGACGUCAAAUCAGCAUGGCUCUUACGCCUUGGGCUACACGCGCGCUACAAUGGUCGGUACAAUGGGUCGCAAAACCGUAAGGUGAAGCCAAUCCCACCAAAACCGGCCCCAGUUCGGAUUGAGGUCUGCAACUCGACCUCAUGAAGUUGGAAUCGCUAGUAAACGCUGAUCAGCUACGCAGCGUUGAAUACGUUCUCGGGCUUUGUACACACCGCCCGUCACACCAAGAGAGUCGGGAGCACCCGAAG